GAACGCGAAGAACCUUACCAGGUCUUGACAUCCCUCUGACCUCUUUAGAGAUAGAGAUUUCCUUCGGGACAGAGGUGACAGGUGGUGCAUGGUUGUCGUCAGCUCGUGUCGUGAGAUGUUGGGUUAAGUCCCGCAACGAGCGCAACCCCUAUUGUUAGUUGCCAUCAUUCAGUUGGGCACUCUAGCGAGACUGCCGGUAAUAAACCGGAGGAAGGUGGGGAUGACGUCAAAUCAUCAUGCCCCUUAUGACCUGGGCUACACACGUGCUACAAUGGCUGGUACAACGAGUCGCAAGCCGGUGACGGCAAGCUAAUCUCUUAAAGCCAGUCUCAGUUCGGAUUGUAGGCUGCAACUCGCCUACAUGAAGUCGGAAUCGCUAGUAAUCGCGGAUCAGCACGCCGCGGUGAAUACGUUCCCGGGUCUUGUACACACC
rnacentral:rRNA from 1 species